rnacentral:rRNA from 1 species
UAUUUAUCAGGCGGGCUGGAACCCCCCGCUGGGCACUGCUUCACGGCGUGCGCGGCGGGGCCGGCCCUGCUGAAUUAUUCACCCGUGUCUUUUGCGUACUUCUUGUUUCCUGGGUGGGCUCGCCCGCCCUCAGGACCAACCACAAACCUUUUGCAAUAGCAAUCAGCGUCAGUAACAACGUAAUUAAUUACAACUUUCAACAACGGAUCUCUUGGUUCUGGCAUCGAUGAAGAACGCAGCGAAAUGCGAUACGUAGUGUGAAUUGCAGAAUUCAGUGAAUCAUCGAAUCUUUGAACGCACAUUGCGCCCUUUGGUAUUCCAAAGGGCAUGCCUGUUCGAGCGUCAUUUGUACCCUCAAGCUUUGCUUGGUGUUGGGCGUCUUUUGUCUCCAGUUCGCUGGAGACUCGCCUUAAAGUCAUUGGCAGCCGGCCUACUGGUUUCGGAGCGCAGCACAAGUCGCGCUCUUUGCCAGCCAAGGUCAGCGUCCAGCAAGCCUUUUUUUCAACCUUUGACCUCGGAUCAGGUAGGGAUACCCGCUGAACUUAA